rnacentral:rRNA from 1 species
AGAGUUUGAUCCUGGCUCAGAGUGAACGCUGGAGGCGUGCCUAAGACAUGCAAGUCGUACGAGAUAGUUCGCAAGAAUGUGUAAAGUGGCGACCGGGUGAGUAAUAUUUAGAUAAUGUACCUUCACGCUGGGGAUAACUAGGCGAAAGCUUAGCUAAUACCGAAUGGUCCGGUUGAAACUGCGGUUUCGAUCGGUAAAGCCGUAAGGCGCGGGAAGAGCAGUCUAAACCCCAUUAGCUAGUUGGCAGGGUAAAAGCCUACCAAGGCAUUGAUGGGUAGCUGGUCUAAGAGGACGACCAGCCACACUGGAACUGAAACACGGUCCAGACUCCUACGGGAGGCAGCAGUUAGGAAUCUUGCGCAAUGGGGGAAACCCUGACGCAGCGACGCCGCGUGGGCGAUGAAGGCCUUCGGGUUGUAAAGCCCUUUCGUUUGGGAAAAAACAAAUGAUGGUACCAAAGGAAGAAGCACCGGCUAACUCCGUGCCAGCCGCCGCGGUAAUUC